CCUACGGGUGGCAGCAGUGGGGAAUAUUGCACAAUGGGGGAAACCCUGAUGCAGCAACGCCGCGUGAGUGAAGAAGGAUUUCGGUAUGUAAAGCUCUAUCAGCAGGGACGAAAAUGACGGUACCUGAUUAAGAAGCCCCGGCCAACUACGUGCCAGGAACCGCGGUAAUACGUAGGGGGCAAGCGUGAUCCGGAUUUACUGGGUGUAAAGGGAGCGUAGACGGCAGCACAAGUCUGGUGUGAAAUGCCGGGGCUCAACCCGGGAACUGCUUUUGAAACUGUGCAGCUGGAGUGCGGGAGAGGUGAGUGGAAUUCCUAGUGUAGCGGUGAAAUGCGUAGAUAUUAGGAGGAACACCAGUGGCGAAGGCGACUUACUGGACUGUAACUGACGUUGAGGCGCGAAAGCGUGGGGAGCAAACAGGAUUAGAUACCCCUGUAGUC
rnacentral:rRNA from 1 species